GACAGAGGGUGCAAACGUUGUUCGGAAUUACUGGGCGUAAAGCGAGUGUAGGCGGUUUGGUAAGUCGGAUGUGAAAGCCCCGGGCUCAACCCGGGAAGUGCACUCGAUACUGCCAAGCUAGAGUGUCGGAGAGGUUGGUGGAAUUCUCGGUGUAGAGGUGAAAUUCGUAGAUAUCGAGAGGAACACCGGUGGCGAAGGCGGGUCUCUGGGCAAUUCCUGACGCUGAGGAGCGAAAGCGUGGGGAGCGAACAGG
rnacentral:rRNA from 1 species